AGAACGAACGCUGGCGGCAGGCCUAACACAUGCAAGUCGAACGCCGUAGCAAUACGGAGUGGCAGACGGGUGAGUAACGCGUGGGAACGUACCUUUUUGUUCGGAACAACACAGGGAAACUUGUGCUAAUACCGGAUAAGCCCUUACGGGGAAAGAUUUAUCGCCGAAAGAUCGGCCCGCGUCUGAUUAGCUAGUUGGUGAGGUAACGGCUCACCAAGGCGACGAUCAGUAGCUGGUCUGAGAGGAUGAUCAGCCACAUUGGGACUGAGACACGGCCCAAACUCCUACGGGAGGCAGCAGUGGGGAAUAUUGGACAAUGGGCGCAAGCCUGAUCCAGCCAUGCCGCGUGAGUGAUGAAGGCCCUAGGGUUGUAAAGCUCUUUGUGCGGGAAGAUAAUGGACGGUACCGCAAGAAUAACGCCCGGCUAACUUCGCGCCAGCAGCCGC
rnacentral:rRNA from 1 species